CCCUGUAUGCUCCGUAGCGGCGAGUGAGCGGCAAAAGCUCAAAUUUGAAAUCUGGCGUCUUUGGCGUCCGAGUUGUAAUUUGAAGAAGGUAUCUUUGGGCCCGGCUCUUGUCUAUGUUCCUUGGAACAGGACGUCACAGAGGGUGAGAAUCCCGUGCGAUGAGAUGACCCGGGUCUGUGUAAAGUUCCUUCGACGAGUCGAGUUGUUUGGGAAUGCAGCUCUAAGUGGGUGGUAAAUUCCAUCUAAAGCUAAAUAUUGGCGAGAGACCGAUAGCGAACAAGUACAGUGAUGGAAAGAUGAAAAGAACUUUGAAAAGAGAGUGAAAAAGUACGUGAAAUUGUUGAAAGGGAAGGGCUUGAGAUCAGACUUGGUAUUUUGCAUGCUGCUCUCUCGGGGGCGGCCGCUGCGGUUUACCGGGCCAGCAUCGGUUUGGAGCGGCAGGAUAAUGGCGGAGGAAUGUGGCACGGCUUCUGCUGUGUGUUAUAGCCUCUGACGAUGCUGCCAGCCUAGACCGAGGACUGCGGUUUUUAACCUAGGAUGUUGGCAUAAUGAUCUUAAGUCGCCCGUCUUGAACCCCGGGACCAAAAUCCG
rnacentral:rRNA from 1 species